AUGAACGCUGGCGGCGUGCCUAAUACAUGCAAGUCGAGCGAACGGACGAGAAGCUUGCUUCUCUGAUGUUAGCGGCGGACGGGUGAGUAACACGUGGAUAACCUACCUAUAAGACUGGGAUAACUUCGGGAAACCGGAGCUAAUACCGGAUGAUAUUUUGAACCGCAUGGUUCAAAAGUGAAAGACGGUCUUGCUGUCACUUAUAGAUGGAUCCGCGCUGCAUUAGCUAGUUGGUAAGGUAACGGCUUACCAAGGCAACGAUGCAUAGCCGACCUGAGAGGGUGACCGCCCCAACUGAACCUAGACACGGGUCCAAACCCCUACGGGGGGCAGCGGUAGGGAAUUUUCCGAAAGGGGCGAAAGCCUAACGGAGCAACGCCGGGUGAGUGAUGAAGGGUUUCGGAUCGUAAAACUCUGUUAUUAGGGAAGAAAAUUUGGGAAAGUAACUGUGCACAUUUUGACGGUACCAAAUCAGAAAGCCACGGCUAACAACGU
rnacentral:rRNA from 1 species